CAAUAAGUAAAUACAUGCAGCAUCAAGAUUUAAUCAUAGUAAAUUAUAAAUGGGUGUUAAACCUUAAAUUUCUUCUUCAACAAGUUCUUGCUCCAAAAAUCUCCUUUUGCAAGCUUGUGCUCCAAAGCUGCUGGUGCUUUCUAUGCAAUUUCUUGACUCUCAGGUGCCCAAAAAGCUGCUGGCAGUUUUUUCACUAAUACCAGUAACCUGUAUGUGCAGUAUCAACUUUUCAGCAGCCUAAGAUUUUACAUGUAAUGUGACAGCAAAUUGAAUUAAAAAAGCUGUUACUGAUGAUCAUGCAAUCUAUUAUUUUCCUACACAUUACCAAAAGAUUUGUACAUUAGAACUAAAACAAGCAGGCUGAAAAAGACUGCAAACACAUUGAUGUCAUCGGCAUUUCAAGGUCAACAUAAAGCAAAAUCAGGUGGUUUCGGAUUGCAUCUCAUACAGAGAUAUUUAGAUCUUUUGCAUAACUAACAAAAAAAAAUCAGGUUAUAUCCAUCUGAACAAUCAAGUUUAGGGAAACUUAUUUAACUCAAUGAUAUAUGAUAAAAAAUAGUAAAUUUUAGGUUUAACUUUAUCUUAAUGAAUGAGAAUAAAGGAGGAAGAACCACUUAUGCAUUUUAUUAAUUGUAAUUCCAGCAUCCGUUGCUUUCUCUAUAGAUCAGGAAUUGGAUACUUUCUGAUAUAGAUGGGCAUUUUACAUUUCCAAAAUCACAUUGGGCACACAUAUGCAUCUGAUAAAUUCAAGAAAAGACCAAGCUUCAAAAAUGAUAAACUAUAAUUUCAUCCAUAUAUAAUUAUGUAUACUUUGCAACACCUUCAAUUGAAUAUGCCAAGUAUUGCAAUCUUGAAUACAAACCCAGGCAGCAUGCUCUUAAGAGAGCAGAUUUGCUAUAAUGACAACUCUAGACAUUACGCUUUACCAAUGCUAUGAAUUAUUUAAAAAACAAAAAAAAAGUCGAAGCCUUUAGAAGGUCAAAACCAAGUAAUAUAAUUUUACAAUAUCUACUGAUCUUAAUGAGAGCCAGAACAAGCAAAAUUUAGACCACAUUAUAAGCUGAUAUAUAACAGUCCAAGACCAGUGGCAAAUAAGAGAGAGAUGGGUCAUAGAUUUCAUUUUCAUGCUUCCAUAAAAGAAAUCCCACUUAGGAUCCCAUUUUCCAUGCGAGCGUCGAGCGACGACAAUAGGUCUUCGGAUCAUAGGCACCAUGUCUCCUUCUUUGAACGAUCUGGACCUGCUUAUCGAAAGCCUGAGCCAUGUAUGAAUGGUAGAACGAUUCCAUGAGAAAUUUACAGGUCUUUUACACAAGCAAAAAAAAAUCCAAUCUUAUCAUGCAAGUAUAUGUUCUAUAAAUUCAACCCUGGAUAGUUGGAAAAAAGUUGAAAGAUCAUGGUUGCAGCUCUCAGGCAACUAGGUGAUCCAUUAACCAAUUACAUGAAACUUAACUC
rnacentral:lncRNA from 1 species